rnacentral:misc_RNA from 1 species
AAUUUUUAGUUUUUUAAAGCAGCAGAACGUACAUUAUAGAUAAAGCAUAGAUAAAGAUAAGAAUAUGUUGCCGAGUGUUAUUUUUUAUAGAAGGUACAUACUUUUAACAACCGAAAAACCACGACAGCAUGUAAGUAACAAAACGUUAAAAAGAAUUCGCUCAACCUAGAGCAGCGGUUUCCUCUAGCGUAGCGUUUGAUAGCUGAGAAAAGACUGAUGCCACGUUCGAUAUUUAACCGAACGUUCUCCCGACUGCGCAAGUGCAUCAAGAAUAGGAAAAAGUGAUGAUACAAAACGACAUGCUAUCUCGCAAUUAUCGAGAAUUUGCAAAGGAAGUUCCGUAACGAUUUCGAUAAUUGACUCAAUCAUACUUAGGCUUGUGAAAUGUAGAUCGGUUCGUUUUUCUUUUCCUUUUUCUCGAAAUAAGCUCGCCGUUAAUUUCGCUCGAGCUGCACAUUACGGCAAAUAUAAAUCAUUCAAUAGGAACAUGUUGCAUCCCUCAGCACACUUCUCAAAUGAUUUCCAAGAGUCGAAUAAAAACUUCGCGAUGGAGUCAAAAAACAGUUAUUCGUUGUUCAUUCGCGUUUCAUCUUCGACAUGUAUCUGCAGGUUGAGGAGCACUACUACACGAUCAACAAAGCUUUUCUCAAAGCAUUAGGUAUCUGGCCUGUUGACAAAUCGUAUCUUAAUUUACUACAGCAAGUGCUGAUCUUCAUUUUGACCAUAACGUAUAUCGGCAUGCAGGUUGCAGCUUUUAUUACAACGAAAAUUGAUAUCAAUCUCUUUGUUAAAAUUAUGUCAACGACGUUACCUUAUGUGAUAGUUGAAGUGAUAUACUGCAGCUUCAUCUUCAAAUCGGAAACUCUGAUGCAAAUGCACCGUCGAAUCCAGGAAGACUGGGAAAUAUUACAUAGUAAAGCAGAAAAUGAAAUUAUGUUGAAACAUAUUCAGAAAAGCUUAACCUAUGAUAUAAUACUAUUCCUGCUUUCCGGUUUUAUAAUAUUCAUUGGAAUCGUUAUUCAGUUUUAUCCGAUUAUUCUCGAUGUUAUAUCGCCGCUAGAUAAGCCUAGAAUUCACAAACUUAUUAUAUCAGCGGAAUAUUUCACGUCAGAGAAUAAGUAUUUUUACACUAAAGUAUUGCACGAAUUCGUGAUCAUUGUGACGUUUGUCUCCAUAUUAUUAUCUACUGGGACACAACUGUUAACAUUUACCCAUCAUUGCUUGGGCUUGUUUAAGAUUGCCAGUUAUCGUCUGCAUCACUCCAUUGAAGAUAGUAUGUUACGAAUGUCAAAUUUAGAAUGGGAACAUGCAUUUUGCAAGAAGAUAACGCACGCUGUAAUUGCACACCGUAAGGCCAUGGAGUUCGCCGACUUUAUGGUGGCAUCAUUUAACAUAUCAUAUUGCAUAUUAACUAUUAUUGCAGUAAUUUCAUUAAGCUUCAAUAUAUACCAAUUUAUCGAUGCGAUAAAAGUCUCAAAUAACAUAGCGGACAUAUUGCUAUCUUUCUUUAUCUCACUAUUCCAUCUGAUUUAUAUGCUGAUGGCAAAUUAUUUAGGAGAGAUGAUCAGCGAUUAUCAUCGCGAGAUUUUUACGUCAUCAUAUGAUAUAUCGUGGUACGUAAUACCGAUAUCGUCACGAAAACUACUCUUGUUCUUGAUGCAAAAAGCCAGCAAGGAUUUUCACUUCAUGAUCGGCUAUAUAUUUGUGGCAAAGAUACAAAAUUUCGUCACGGUAAGUAAUGCUGAAAACACGAGACAACUCGACCGAGAUGUACAUGAAAUUGAUGUACAUGUUUUUCAGCUCGCGAAUACUGCACUAUCUUAUGUUACCGUGAUGUACUCUGUCCAAAGAUAAAUAAAUAAUCGAUAGAUAAAGCCUUAUCUUCUCUUAGAAAUGCGCACACGCACAGAUGCAAAAUGGACGGAAUUUGCGCUGUAUUAGAGAAAAGUAUACAGACUCAUUUCAGCGCUGCUGUAUGCGUUGCUGCAUGUUG